AUGGAAAGAUGUAUUCUACUUCUUAUUCUUAUAACAAUUCCAGGUAUAUUUGCUGAUAGCAUUGAACCAAAAGACAGAGAUAAUAUAAUCAAGAAAGAAGGAGAGUCUGUGACACUGAGCUGCACUUAUGAUACAAGCAGCACUUAUGCUAUGCUUUACUGGUACAGACAGUAUCCAAACAGAGAACUCCAGUAUUUACUGCGUAAAGGUGCUCGAUCAUGGAGCUACAGUGAGGAUAUACCAGAUCGUCGCUUUCAGUCGAUUACAUCACAAACAUCCACUGAACUCACUAUUACUGGUGUAACUCUGUCAGAUUCAGCUCUCUAUUAUUGUGCUCUAAGAGUAGCAGCCCAGUGA